CCUACGGGGGGCAGCAGUGAGGAAUAUUGGUCAAUGGGCGAGAGCCUGAACCAGCCAAGUCGCGUGAGGGAGUACUGCCCUAUGGGUUGUAAACCUCUUUUGUCGGGGAGCAAAAGCCGGACGUGUCCGGCUGUGAGAGUACCCGAAGAAAAAGCAUCGGCUAACUCCGUGCCAGCAGCCGCGGUAAUACGGAGGAUGCGAGCGUUAUCCGGAUUUAUUGGGUUUAAAGGGUGCGCAGGCGGGGUUUUAAGUCAGCGGUAAAAUCGUGGGGCUCAACCCCAUCCAGCCGUUGAAACUGGGGAUCUAGAGUGUGCGAGAGGUAUGCGGAAUGCGUGGUGUAGCGGUGAAAUGCAUAGAUAUCACGCAGAACCCCGAUUGCGAAGGCAGCAUACCGGUGCACAACUGACGCUCAGGCACGAAAGCGUGGGUAUCGAACAGGAUUAGAUACCCCAGUAGUC
rnacentral:rRNA from 1 species